UACGAAGGGGGCUAGCGUUGCUCGGAAUUACUGGGCGUAAAGGGCGCGUAGGCGGAUAUUUAAGUCGGGGGUGAAAGCCCAGGGCUCAACCCUGGAAUUGCCUUCGAUACUGGAUAUCUUGAGUUCGGGAGAGGUGAGUGGAAUGCCGAGUGUAGAGGUGAAAUUCGUAGAUAUUCGCAAGAACACCAGUGGCGAAGGCGGCUCACUGGCCCGAUACUGACGCUGAGGUGCGAAAGCGUGGGGAGCAAACAGG
rnacentral:rRNA from 1 species